rnacentral:rRNA from 1 species
UACGUAGGGUGCGAGCGUUUGUCCGGAAUUAUUGGGCGUAAAGAGCUCGUAGGCGGUGUGUCGCGUCGGCCGUGAAAACCUGCAGCUUAACUGUGGGCUUGCGGUCGAUACGGGCAUCACUGGAGUUCGGCAGGGGAGACUGGAAUUCCUGGUGUAGCGGUGAAAUGCGCAGAUAUCAGGAGGAACACCGGUGGCGAAGGCGGGUCUCUGGGCCGAUACUGACGCUGAGGAGCGAAAAGCGUGGGGAGCGAACAGG